rnacentral:lncRNA from 1 species
AGGGGCCCAUGUGCUAGAUGGGGCCCAGUUAGAGGGUCACUGCUGGGCAGGCAGAGGCCGUACCCUCCCUCCAGCCAGGGAGGACAGGAGACAGGGGGAGGUGGGGCCAGAGGGCAGAGAGGGCGGGAGUGUGGCUGGUGGGGGUCAGGCCUCCUCCCUGCUUCGAGGCACCCAGGACCUUCUCUCCUGCGCCCCACCUCCUUCCUGGCGUCCUGGUCUCGGGGAGGCAGUGGUUUGCAGUUACAGCUGUUCCCUUUCGUCGGGAGCCCCUUCCCCAGCAGAUUGGCGCCGCCCCAGGCUGUACGGAGGCUGGGAGGGCAGGAAAUGGGGCAUUGGGGCCACACAGUUACCGCCCCAAGCAAAGCCGGGUUCUGAGCAAAGAGGGAAGAGAGACAUGGCCAGGCCCUUCUCCCCACGGCCCCUGCUGCUGUGCAUGGGCCUCAGAGCCUUCGAGCUCACGGAACGAACUUGCCACUGAAGACCCCUGCCCCUGCCACAGUGUUGGUGCAGCCUGGGCAGUGGCUGGGGGACUGAGUCUGGCACCUGUGCCCCAGGAUCCUGAGAGUGGAGCCGCUCUUCCUCCUGAGUGUGGGGGCCUCCAGCAGCUGGUUCUGGGGCUCUGAACCUCAUGGCUUCAGCCCCGCUUCACCCACAUCCGAUGUGAGCCGUCCCUGACCCUUCCGCCAUGAGCGGACGCAGACAUGUACAGUAGGAGGGCGAUGGGAGACACCUGGAGAGAAGAUGGCCGUCCACAAACCAGGGCCAGAGGCCUAGAGCAGGUGCCCCCUGCUGGACUCCAAGGGAGCCAAGCCUGCUGCCCCCUGGGUUUUGGACUUCUGGCUUCCAGAACUGCAAGGUGAUAAGCUUCUCUUGUCGAAGGCACCCAAUCUGUGGCAGUUUAUUAUGGUCCCCGUAGCAAACAAAUACCCUCAGGUUGGCUGCAUCCUGGGACUGAAGGUCAGCGCUGCUCUCAAGAUGUAAAAGACUUUCUCCUUCUGAGGCUCCGGGGUCCACUCCUGCCAUUGCCAGCAUUCUAGAACUGGUGUGGCCCCUCCACCUUAACCAGCCCUGGGCUCUGGAGUUUCUGACUGUGAUUGUCCACAUUUUGACCACAACUUUGUAUAUAAAAACCCUCCUUGAACUGUUCCACUGUGUGUGCCCGCCUAUUGGGACCCUGACUGAUACAUGCUGUAUUGGUUUUUAAAAACUUUUUAAAAUUUAUAUUUUAUUUAGGAUUUUGCAUGUAUGUUUAUGAGAUUGGCCUAUAAUUUUCCUUUCCUAUAUUCUCUGAAUGACUGUUAUCAAGGCUAUCCCAGCCUCAUAAAAUAAGUUCUUCUUUUAUCAAAAUUCACUGGAAAAUUCUGUAUAUAGUUGGAAGGAUCUAUCCUUUGAAAGUUAAAUGGAAUUCACCCAUAAAA